rnacentral:rRNA from 1 species
GCAUAUCAAUAAGCGGAGGAAAAGAAACCAACAGGGAUUGCCCUAGUAACGGCGAGUGAAGCGGCAACAGCUCAAAUUUGAAAUCUGGCUCUUUCAGGGUCCGAGUUGUAAUUUGCAGAGGGCGCUUUGGCGUUGGCAGCGGUCCAAGUUCUUUGGAACAGGACGUCACAGAGGGUGAGAAUCCCGUACGUGGUCGCUAGCCUUCGCCGUGUAAAGCCCCUUCGACGAGUCGAGUUGUUUGGGAAUGCAGCUCUAAAUGGGAGGUAAAUUUCUUCUAAAGCUAAAUACUGGCCAGAGACCGAUAGCGCACAAGUAGAGUGAUCGAAAGAUGAAAAGCACUUUGGAAAGAGAGUCAAAUAGCACGUGAAAUUGUUGAAAGGGAAGCGCUUGCAGCCAGACUUGCCUGUAGUUGCUUAUCUGGACUUUUGUCCGGUGCACUCUUCUGCGGGCAGGCCAGCAUCAGUUUGGGCGGUUGGAUAAAGGUCUCUGUCAUGUACCUCCUUUCGGGGAGGCCUUAUAGGGGAGACGACAUGCAACCAGCCUGGACUGAGGUCCGCGCAUCUGCUAGGAUGCUGGCGUAAUGGCUGUAAGCGGCCCGUCUUGAAACACGGACC